AUUGAACGCUGGCGGAAGGAAGAAAAAAGGAAAGUCGAGAGGAGGAAGGGAGCUUGCGGCGGGAUUGAGCGGCGGACGGGUGAGUAAUGCCUAGGAAUCUGCCUGGUAGUGGGGGAUAACGUCCGGAAACGGGCGCUAAUACCGCAUACGUCCUGAGGGAGAAAGUGGGGGAUCUUCGGACCUCACGCUAUCAGAUGCGCCUAGGUCGGCUUCGCUAGUUGGGGGGGUAAAGGCCUACCAAGGCGACGAUCCGUAACUGGUCUGAGAGGAUUAUCAGUCACCCUGGAACUGAGCCACGGUCCAGACUCCUCCGCGAGGCAGCAGUGGGGAAUAUUGGACCAUGGGCGAAAGCCUGAUCCAGCCAUGCCGCGUGUGUGCAGCAGGUCUUCGGAUUCUAACUCCCUUUCCGUUCGGAGGAAGGGCAGUCCGUUCCUACCUUUCUGUUUUGACGUUACCCACAGCCUAAGCCCCCCCUCCCUUCGUC
rnacentral:rRNA from 1 species